rnacentral:rRNA from 1 species
ACGGACGAUAUGCAGUCCUGUUUCUUCGGGAACAUCAGUGAUGACAGGUGGUGCAUGGUUGUCGUCAGCUCGUGUCGUGAGAUGUUGGGUUAAGUCCCGCAACGAGCGCAACCCUUAUCCCCAGUAGCCAGCGGUUCGGCGGGCACUCUGAGGAGACUGCCAGGGAUAACCUGGAGGAAGGUGGGGAUGACGUCAAAUCAUCAUGCCCCUUAUGACUUGGGCUACACACGUGCUACAAUGGCGUAAACAAAGGGAAGCGAGACCGUGAGGUGGAGCAAAUCCCAAAAAUAACGUCUCAGUUCGGACUGUAGUCUGCAACCCGACUACACGAAGCUGGAAUCGCUAGUAAUCGCAGAUCAGAAUGCUGCGGUGAAUACGUUUCCGGGCCUUGUACAC